rnacentral:lncRNA from 1 species
UUCUCACUUAUUUGUGGGAGCUAAAAAUUAAAAUAAUUGAACUCAUGGAGAUAGAGAGUAGAAGGAUGGUUAUCAAAGGCUGGGUAGGGUAGUUGGGCAGGGAUGUGGGGAUGGUUAAUGAGUACAAAAAAUAGUUAGAAAGAAUCAGUAAGACCUAGUAUUUGCUAGCACAACAGGGAGACUAUAUCCAAAAACAAUUCAAUUGCAUUUUUAAAAUAAUUAAAAUAAUAUAAUUUGGAUUGUUUAUUAUACAAAGGAUAAAUGCUUGAGGGGAUGGAUACCCCAUUCUCCAUUUUGUGAUUCUUACACAUUGCAUAACUGUUUCAAAGUAUCUCAUGUACCCCAUAAAAUAUAUAUUUACUAUAUACCCACAAAAAUUAAAAAUAAAAAAAUUCAAAAAGAAUUGUUAUCUGCCUAGUGAUUCAUAAUAAAAAACUCAUAAUUAAUAACACAUAAUAAAAAUGAGUAAAAGAAGAGUUUUAUAAUAAACCUUAAGAGCUGAACUGGUCUUUUAUUCACAGAAAGAAUAUCUGAACAUACAGUUAAUGCAUUUAGAUCAACAACCUUCGAUCAAGACCAAAUUAAAUCUGUAGGAUAAUGAUUCAUAGAAUGUAUCUUCACCCAGAGGUCUGAUAUUUCCUGGCCCCAAGAAACACCAGUUAUGAAGAUAAAGAUAAAAAAUGUCUUAAGGAAGCCCAACCAAGUUUCUUAGACUUUGUAUCAAAGAGCUCAGAGAUGGGAGCUUCUUGAGGGCACUUCCAUCCUAAGCACCAUCGAUAAGCUGAAAGUGUUUCAUUCAUAACUCUGUGUGUGUGUGUGUGUGUGUGUGUGUGUGUGUGUAAAUAAGCUUUUGUGCACUUGUGUGCUGGUAAAUGUUUCAAAACAUGUUCUUGGAGGAAAUAGCCAUGAUGGUUUUGCCAGUUUCUGUGGUGUAAAUACUCCCAUCAUGGCUGAUUUCCAGCUAUCAACCCUAUGUGACUGAGCACAAGUUGGGAUGAGAUCAUAAGUGGUUCUCACUGGCCAGUAAGAACUGACUUCAACACACUACUUCCUUCACGAGUUGUAAUUCAUAGUUCUAUGGAAAAUCGGGGAAUGCCAUAUUUUAAAAUCCAUGUAUCCUGGACAUAUCUUGGGUUGUUCUUUAUAACAUUUUUCAGUUAUAGAGAUAUUUUCCUUUUUACUUAGCAUAUUAGAUAUAUUAAUAGUUCAAGAGUUGAAGAGUUGGCAGAUACGAAUAACAAUAUAGGAGGUGAAGAACUCAGAGAUGAUCAUAAGUGUUGGAAGACAGUGGUACAUGGACAGAGACAGGAAGUGGGGAGAACUGGUUGGGAGAGAGUGAAGAGGCUGUCCCUUUGCUUUCCCACGAUGAGGAUAUAAACUAGAUGGAGAGCUGGAGACGUGGUUAGAAGGUUAGAGACUUUCUGGAGAUUGAAAAUCAUCCAUGGGAGUUAAAGAAUUCAGGACACAGAAUCAACCACAGUGGAAAAGUGUAGCAAUGGAAAAGGAUCAAAUAUUGGGCUUUUUGAGAUUUGGAAGAAGAGAAGCCAACAGAAAAGACAUAGUCAGAUAAGUAGAAAAAAUAAAAACACCAAGAAACAUGAUGAAGGAAAAAGGUGAAGAUAAACAAAAUAAUCAAAUGUUCCAUCAAAGUACAGAAAAUAAAGGAGGCUAUUUCAGCCAAGAGGUGGGACACAAAACAGGCUACAAGGGGUAUGUGGAUCACAGAAAUUCACCAUUUGGGAAGAUUGCCUGAUAUGAGUCAAUGCUCCUUUCUUAUAACUUCAAAAGCAGUGUAAGAACUGAAGGCUCCUUUCUGCCUAAGGCUUGGUCCAGAUCUAAGGAACCAAGGCAAACUCAUAAGCCAAUGAAUGGACAGAGCUUAAACAUAUCAUGAAUAGAGCUAGUGUCGGGGAAGAGGAAGAUUCUGGCUGCAAGCCAGAGGCCUGGCUCCGUGAAGAAUGGAAAUUCUGGCGUGGCUGCUCAGCCUUUCUGUGUCCAGGGUUAGUGGCCAGUUUCAACGUGGAAGGACCUUAUCCAGAACCACAAAAUGGAUGGCUGCCCCCAAGUGAGCCAUCCCAUGGCAGAAGGACUAGUUUGGCAGGAAGCUUUAAGAAGGGUGGCAAUUUGGUAUCAGAGUCUCUGCCAAAAAAAAGCAACUCUGAUGAGAAGAAAUUUUAACUAACAGGAGAAAGCUCCAUCCAGUAGAAAACUAAAAUUUCUGUGCAACAGGUUGUGUGCCUGACUGCGCUCAAGCCUCACCAAUGGCUUUUGGUGUCACAGGCUGAGGCUGCCUCUGUUUUCUUGUGCGUGUAUAUACGCUUGCCCUUCCUCCCAGAUAGGGGCUUCCUAGAUGUGAGGUCAUGACUGGAAGCCAGAGUGUCUUGUUUGAGUUUGGGCUGACCUCUUGGAGCACAGAAGAGCUUGCUCUUUGCCCUGAUGAAUGGUUGCCUAUGAAACUAAACAGCCUCCAGUCCAAACCAGCUCACAUGGGUAGCCUCCUCUUAAGUUUCCUUUUCUUCUUUGUCUCAACAAAAACCCCUCCAAUGAACGAUCUGCCUCUCCUGUGUUAGCAGACCUGAGCUCUUCUAAAGAUCACUAUUUCAACACCACUUUGGAUUUUCUCUGACUUUGCAAAGACUGUUGAGGAAUAGUAUUUACUUGCUUAGAGCUCUGAACAACUGGAGGACCUGUUGGCAAUCCCAUGGCCACUGGCCUCAAGGACAAUAUAAACCAGAUGGGAAGACCAUGUGGAUGCUCAGGAAAUAGCUACCAUUGCAAAACAGUAAAAAUUAGGGUCACUGUGAUUUAAAAGUCGGAAAUGCUGGGUGACUUUAGGAAGUGGAAAACUUCACAGAAGAGGAAAGCUCACAGUUGGACCAAGGAUUUGAAAGCCACAAGAGCAAAGACACACAAGUGGGCCCACAUAGAUGUGCAAUGGUGUUACUUUAGUGAUACGCAACUGGCAACUGUAAAUUCAGUUAUUCACUGAGAGAGCGGACACGGAGGAAAGUGGUGAUGUCACCACUAGCCUCCACUCUAAGACACCAGUGACAACCGUUUGUUCCACCAGGCAGGAUAUAACUGUGAAGGCCUGUUUGUUCUUAGAGGAAAGAAGCAAGGACAGAAGCAAAGUGGGGUAUUUUAGAGCUUGGCAGUGGUUCUAGGUGCUCCCUCGCUGCAUCCAGAAACAAGCUGUCUGGUUUCUCCUCCUCAAUAUCUGCCCCUUUGCUGUUCUUCCCUUUUCUUGCCUCCUCCCUUUAGGUUAGGGCAGCACUUGAUCAAAGAAGUCACUACCCAGGGCCAUUCCUACCUUGGACACAUGUAAGGGCUAACUCACCCAAACAAGAAUGAGAGGCAGGUAAGGAAACACUUCUCACACUGCAAGUGUAUCAUUACAACACCCAGGGAUCUUGUUGAAAUGCAGACUCUGAUUCCUUAGGUCUGGGUGGGACUUGAGAUUCCUCAUUUCUUAUAAGUUCCCUGCUGAUGUCAAUUUGACUAGUCCUUGGGCCACACUAAGUGUAGCAAGGAGAAUCACGCAUCACAAUGCCAAGAUUCUCCCCACAAAAUUGUGGCCCUUCCUUCUGUCCCUAACUUUAUGGAAACAGUAACUGGAACCUUCAUCUCUCCUGACAAUGGGGCAAGGGAGACAACGUCUGCUUCUGGGGCUAUCGUAGGAUGAUAUGAGAGGAGCAGGUCAUGACUAUGCCUGGCACUGAACCUAGGACUCAGAGCAGGUUGUGAAUGUCACUCACUGUCCUUCCUUAUUUCUUGAGGUUAGUUCUGAUGUUGGGGUUGGGUCUCCACUCCAAGAAGAUACCUACCAGUUAGCAGUGACUGAAGGUUACAAGACACUGAUAACAUAACUAAUUAUGUGUUUUGGAAUCUGUGCUAAAAUCUCAGCCUGCAGAUGUUAAGGAUGCAGCAAGACUGGAGCAAAGGGCUGGAAGAAGAAUAAGGACUGGAGUAAGAGAGCCAUGAGUGCAAGAAAGGCCCUACCAGCUAUUCUGGGGAACAUAUACAAUAGUCCCUUCUUAUCCACGGUUUCGCUUUCCACAGUUAACUGUGGUCCAAAAAUAUUAAAUAGAACAUUCCAGAAAUAAACAAUUUGUAAGUUUUA